GUCGAGCGACGGAUAAGGAGCUUGCUCCUUUGAAGUUAGCGGCGGACGGGUGAGUAACACGUGGGUAACCUACCUAUAAGACUGGGAUAACUUCGGGAAACCGGAGCUAAUACCGGAUAACAUUUAGAACCGCAUGGUUCUAAAGUGAAAGAUGGUUUUGCUAUCACUUAUAGAUGGACCCGCGCCGUAUUAGCUAGUUGGUAAGGUAACGGCUUACCAAGGCGACGAUACGUAGCCGACCUGAGAGGGUGAUCGGCCACACUGGAACUGAGACACGGUCCAGACUCCUACGGGAGGCAGCAGUAGGGAAUCUUCCGCAAUGGGCGAAAGCCUGACGGAGCAACGCCGCGUGAGUGAUGAAGGGUUUCGGCUCGUAAAACUCUGUUAUUAGGGAAGAACAAAUGUGUAAGUAACUGUGCACAUCUUGACGGUACCUAAUCAGAAAGCCACGGCUAACUACGUGCCAGCAGCCGCGGUAAUACGUAGGUGGCAAGCGUUAUCCGGAAUUAUUGGGCGUAAAGCGCGCGUAGGCGGUUUCUUAAGUCUGAUGUGAAAGCCCACGGCUCAACCGUGGAGGGUCAUUGGAAACUGGGAAACUUGAGUGCAGAAGAGGAAAGUGGAAUUCCAUGUGUAGCGGUGAAAUGCGCAGAGAUAUGGAGGAACACCAGUGGCGAAGGCGACUUUCUGGUCUGUAACUGACGCUGAUGUGCGAAAGCGUGGGGAUCAAACAGGAUUAGAUACCCUGGUAGUCCACGCCGU
rnacentral:rRNA from 1 species